AAUAUUGGACAAUGGGGGCAACCCUGAUCCAGCCAUGCCGCGUGUGUGAAGAAGGUCUUCGGAUUGUAAAGAACUUUAAGUUGGGAGGAAGGGCUUUAGGUUAAUACCCUGAAGUUUUGACGUUACCAACAGAAGAAGCACCGGCUAACUCUGUGCCAGCAGCCGCGGUAAUACAGAGGGUGCAAGCGUUAAUCGGAAUUACUGUGCAUAAAGCGCGCGUAGGUGGUUCAGUAAGAUGGGUGUAAAGUCCCCGGGCUUAACCUGGGAACUGCUUUCAUAACUGAUGAGCUAGAGUACGGUAGAGGGUAGUAGAAUUUCCUGUAUAGCGGUGAAAUGCGUAGAUAUAGGAAGGAACACCAGUGGCGAAGGCGACUACCUGGACUGAUACUGACACUGAGGUGCGAAAGCGUGGGGAGCAAA
rnacentral:rRNA from 1 species